rnacentral:rRNA from 1 species
UACAGAGGGUGCAAACGUUGUUCGGAAUUACUGGGCGUAAAGCGCGUGCAGGCGGCCUUGUAAGUCGGGUGUGAAAUCCCUCGGCCCAACCGAGGAACUGCGCCCGAGACUGCUUCUCUUGAGUCCCGGAGAGGAAGAUGGAAUUCCCGGUGUAGCGGUGAAAUGUGUAGAGAUCGGGAGGAACACCGGUGUCGAAGGCGGUCUUCUGGACGGUGACUGACGCUGAGGCGCGAAAGCGUGGGGAGCAAACGGG